rnacentral:rRNA from 1 species
CCUACGGGAGGCAGCAGUGAGGAAUAUUGGUCAAUGGACGAGAGUCUGAACCAGCCAAGUCGCGUGAAGGAUGACUGCCCUAUGGGUUGUAAACUUCUUUUAUAUGGGAAUAAAACGUUCCACGUGUGGGAUUUUGUAUGUACCAUAUGAAUAAGGAUCGGCUAACUCCGUGCCAGCAGCCGCGGUAAUACGGAGGAACCGAGCGUUAUCCGGAUUUAUUGGGUUUAAAGGGAGCGUAGGUGGAUUGUUAAGUCAGUUGUGAAAGUUUGCGGCUCAACCGUAAAAUUGCAGUUGAAACUGGCAGUCUUGAGUACAGUAGAGGUGGGCGGAAUUCGUGGUGUAGCGGUGAAAUGCUUAGAUAUCACGAAGAACUCCGAUUGCGAAGGCAGUUCACUGGACUGCAACUGACACUGAGGCUCGAAAGUGUGGGUAUCAAACAGGAUUAGAUACCCCAGUAGUC